CUCAGUAAAAGAAUAGGCAUGGAUCUGGCUAGAGGCUGCAGGUCUUCCAAAGCUCUGCUUUCCUAUGGAGUGCUUAAAAUAAUAUGCCCAGGCUUUCAUUGACCAUCAAAGUUUGCCCUGUUUAUUAGCAGAUGAAUCUCCCCUGGGAAAGCAACAUUUUUCCUCACGUAGCUGUCUUUUAUGAAUCACUUACUAUGGAUCAGUCAUAAAAAAAAACCUGUAUGUAUAUUUUCUCAUUAAACUAGAAUUAUAAUGCCUACUCUGUGAGAUGCUGUAGGUUCCCCAUUUUGAGGCCCACGAGUUUAAAGAACAAGAUAAUAUAGCCAAUUAGCAGCCACAAUAAGAUUCAAAGUCCGUUAAUUCUGUUCGCAGACAGAAUGCUCAACCACCACUCUAGGCUGCCUUUAGGAAGUCCACAUAGCUAUAAUGUAUGUUUUCUUUGUGCUAUAUCACAGCCAUGGAAGCAUAAAGACAAAGGCAGGAGUUAAAGAGACAGCCUAGGAAUGAAUAAAAUUUUCUUGUCUUAAAAACAUUUAAAGAGUGAUGAUAAGAAACAGACAUGACCUCUCCUAUCUAGAAAUGUAAAUAUAAAAGGUAAGUACACCAAAUGAAAUAAGCAAAUAAAAUGCUGCCUUUAUAGAACACAUUCAGAACUUCCGAAGAAAAACUGGAGUUACCGACUGAAGCAAGCUUGAUAAUGUAGAAGAAUAAGUAACAUAGUGUGAAACAUAUGUGUUUAUAGGAGUAAAUAAAAUAUCGCUUUAGAUGACUGUAGCACUUGGUAUAUAUUAAGGAAAUCAUGAAUAGUGUUUGCUUAGCUAGAAUAAAGAAAUUUACCUUGGUGCUUAUACAAGAUGAGACAAAUAAGCAAAGAGGUUGAAAACAGGAAGGGAUAAGUGUCUAUUAUUUAAAAAUUCAAUUUAAUUCAACAGUUAUUUAUAUAGUAAGCAACUACUCUCAUCCUGGCACUGCAUAACAUGUCAGCAGAUGAAGGAG
rnacentral:lncRNA from 1 species